UCUGGUUACUGCGAUGGAGGGACGGAGAAGGCUAGGCCAGCUUGGCGUUGGUUGUCCAAGUUUAAGGUGGUAGGCUGAAAUCUUAGGUAAAUCCGGGGUUUCAAGGCCGAGAGCUGAUGACGAGUCGUCUUUUAGAUGACGAAGUGGUUGAUGCCAUGCUUCCAAGAAAAGCUUCUAAGCUUCAGGUAACCAGGAACCGUACCCCAAACCGACACAGGUGGUCGGGUAGAGAAUACCAAGGCGCUUGAGAGAACUCGGGUGAAGGAACUAGGCAAAAUGGCACCGUAACUUCGGGAGAAGGUGCGCCGGCUAGGGUGAAGGAUUUACUCCGUAAGCUCUGGCUGGUCGAAGAUACCAGGCCGCUGCGACUGUUUAUUAAAAACACAGCACUCUGCAAACACGAAAGUGGACGUAUAGGGUGUGACGCCUCCCCGGUGCCGGAAGGUUAAUUGAUGGGGUUAGCGCAAGCGAAGCUCUUGAUCGAAGCCCCGGUAAACGGCGGCCGUAACAAUAACGGUCCUAAGGUAGCGAAAUUCCUUGUCGGGUAAGUUCCGACCUGCACGAAUGGCGUAACGAUGGCGGCGCUGUCUCCACCCGAGACUCAGUGAAAUUGAAAUCGCUGUGAAGAUGCAGUGUAUCCGCGGCUAGACGGAAAGACCCCGUGAACCUUUACUGUAGCUUUGCACUGGACUUUGAGCCUGCUUGUGUAGGAUAGGUGGGAGGCUUUGAAGCGUGGACGCCAGUUCGCGUGGAGCCAUCCUUGAAAUACCACCCUGGCAUGCUUGAGGUUCUAACUCUGGUCCGUAAUCCGGAUCGAGGACAGUGUAUGGUGGGCAGUUUGACUGGGGCGGUCUCCUCCUAAAGAGUAACGGAGGAGUACGAAGGUGCGCUCAGACCGGUCGGAAAUCGGUCGCAGAGUAUAAAGGCAAAAGCGCGCUUGACUGCGAGACAGACACGUCGAGCAGGUACGAAAGUAGGUCUUAGUGAUCCGGUGGUUCUGUAUGGAAGGGCCAUCGCUCAACGGAUAAAAGGUACUCCGGGGAUAACAGGCUGAUACCGCCCAAGAGUUCAUAUCGACGGCGGUGUUUGGCACCUCGAUGUCGGCUCAUCACAUCCUGGGGCUGAAGCCGGUCCCAAGGGUAUGGCUGUUCGCCAUUUAAAGUGGUACGCGAGCUGGGUUUAGAACGUCGUGAGACAGUUCGGUCCCUAUCUGCCGUGGACGUUUGAGAUUUGAGAGGGGCUGCUCCUAGUACGAGAGGACCGGAGUGGACGAACCUCUGGUGUUCCGGUUGUCACGCCAGUGGCAUUGCCGGGUAGCUAUGUUCGGAAAAGAUAACCGCUGAAAGCAUCUAAGCGGGAAACUUGCCUCAAGAUGAGAUCUCACUGGGAACUUGAUUCCCCUGAAGGGCCGUCGAAGACUACGACGUUGAUAGGCUGGGUGUGUAAGCGUUGUGAGGCGUUGAGCUAACCAGUACUAAUUGCCCGUGAGGCUUGACC
rnacentral:rRNA from 1 species